GUCACGUGGGGCAAGUGUGCGCAGCGGGUAAGUGUACGCACUCGAAGUAUUUCAAAAACGGUUUAUAGGUACGAACUGAUAACACCCCUCCUCAUUAGCGCACAAAAGGCUAUACUUAGUGCAACUUUUUCACUGUCCGCCGGUGAACCAUUUUGUUUCCGUAAAGUUUAAUUAUACAUAAAAAAUGCCUCGAUUAUAAAAGAAAUGCCGGAUAGAAGUGUUGUCACAGAGGAACAGCUAGAAGCUGUUAAAAGAUUAAUUUCGGAGGUUGGUAGCACACGACAGUGUGGCACCCGCAAUAAUGAGUGUACCUUCGUCUAGGAAUGAAUAUGUACGACUGUCAUCCAUCCAAGAAAUACCGAAGUUGGCCUUAGGCAUUUCUUGGAUGAAUGACUGUGAUUCAAAAUCGGCGAAAGAAAGGCAAAAAGUCAAUCAUUGAUACUGUAAGUCCUUAUAAAGUAGAAUUGGAAAAACAAAAAACAAGAGGAAGAAUAAAUUGCCAAAAAAGAAGAUACGACUUGAUCUGAAAAUAAAUAAAA